rnacentral:pre_miRNA from 1 species
UCAUCUGGGGAUUGCAUAAAAUGCAUAUCUGAUUUAGUAGGUCUGAGAUACUGCAUUUCUAACAAGCUCCCAGGUGAUGCCA